GACACACGCCUCACAUGCUCCUGCUGAAGCCAUUGUGAUGGAUGAAGAUGAAGAGCUGGAGAGAGCGAUGCUGGGUAUCUCUCCUUCCAAGCAACACGUGCAGAGCUCUGUUUUUGCAUCAUCCUCAUCGUCAUCAUCUGCCAGAGAACGACAGCCUUUGAGAAGAGAAAGAGGUCUUUAACCCAAAGCGUCCUGCCGUCGACCGACACAACUGGGACCAUGAAUUCUUAUCCCACAUGAAGCAUGACUAUUCUCAUCCCGUCUCAUGUUGACCACGUUCUGGUCAUGUUUGUCUUUUGGUGUUCUACCUAUUGUCCUAGUGACUAUGAAUUGAUUCCAGUCAUGAUGAGGUACCAUCUGCUACACUGGCUGCACCAGCCAAGGCUAAGGGUUCACAAGUAGAUGCCCCUGCAUUACCAUCCGUAAAGAGACCUGUGCCCGUUCCCCAGGAGCUCAUGUGUCUGAUGCCCGAAGGAGCAGCUCAUCUGUCAACAGAGGCGACUGCCACAGUUCCUGGAUCAGAGGAGCUCCUGAUUUCUCCUGAGACGUCUGCAGAGCCCGGUCAACUGCCAACUCCACACAGAGAUCAAAGUGAGCCUUUACCCAGGCCAAUAGCUGUCCCCACCUGUCCUCCUCCACAGCUUCCUGGCUACGACCAC